UAGAUAACUCGAAUAUCACAUC
rnacentral:miRNA from 2 species